UAAGCUGGUUAGAUACCCCUCCCCAUCUUCAUUUCAAGUAUUUGAGCUAUAUGUUCCUUAACAGUGAAGUGAUAACCACAGUACUUCACUGCUUCACCAACCAGAACAAAUUUUUAUUACAGAAAUAUAUCAUAAUAUAUUUACAACCAGUGUAAGGCUCAUUUUUAUUUAAUUUUUAACCUGUAAGCAUUCCUUCAUUUAUUUCCUAAGAUUCUCUCCACCUUCACUUGGAUUCUUAAAUGUGUUCCUCUGCUUCCUCUGCCCAUUUUUUUUUUAAUGAUCUCUGAAAGCAGUAUUUAAGCAAGCACCUCAACACAGGAACUUCAUCCUCCAGGUCCCUAAACAAAACAAAACAAAACAAACAAACAAAAAAAAGUGAAGAAAAUCUAUACUUGCUUCACAUCCUGCUUUCUGCAUACCACAGCCAGUUUGCAACAUGAACGUAUGCAAGGUAGAGCACAAGGGAAAGCAAAACUGAGAUAUAAAAUAGUUCUUCAAAAGCAGAAAAAGGCACUGUGUUGUUCACAAAUCAGAACACUAAAUGCAAAUUUGCCCUUGAAUAAAGGAAGGGAAAGGAAAAAGACACUGGAAGGAAUUCAGGAGGUUGAGUUCAAGUUUUCUUUUGAAUUUCAAGUUUGCCUGAAACAGUUUGACUCUCAGUGCUGCUGACAUCGCAUAAAGUGAACCCACCAUCGAGGUUUAGAUGAAACCUAGGUAAACAGCAGCAGAUUUCAUGCUGUUCUAAUACAGACCCCUGUGAAAGCACAACUGUUCAGAAAAGUAUGUAAUAUACUUCAAGUAUGUGGACCUACAAACCUCAAGAGGUAUCACUGAAACAGUUCUAGCCGAAUGACUUCUAAUUUGACACUGAAGAGGCAACCUACCAAGUAAUAACUAUGAAAACUGCACAGGGACAAUAAUUCAACCUACUGUAGCUGUGUUUUAAGCAUAAGGAGAGCUGCUGUAUAUUACUGAAAACCUUAAUACAAAGCUUACCUUGCUAUCAGAGGAUUGUUCAGUUUUUUAAUGUGUUAUCCAAACAAAAAAACACAAAUCAUAGAACACAUUGAGAGUUAGCAUGGGCAUGUUUGAUGUACCACAGCACAUACGUUAAAACAAAAAGUAUAAACUUUUGUAGGGAAGAAGUAACAUAAAUAAUAAAAUAAUUUUCACACCAAGAUCACUGCCAAACCACCCAUGACUUUACUGGAGAGGUUAAGUCUCUCUAGACAGCUCAUCUUAGCCAAGUCCCAUUAUAAACAUAGAUAUUCCUUCCCAUAUAGCAUGUUCAUAAUCAGAGAAAUACCUGGGUGGUAGUCAAUCAGAAAAACAGCUCAAAGGUAAGAACAAGUUUUAUGUCUGUUUUCCAUCCAGAAGUACAAUGAAUUUCAGCAAUACCAGUCAGGACAAAGCAGGAAAAAAAUAUAUAUAUAUAAAAAAAUAAAUAAAUUCCUGAGUUCUUGCCUGGCACAUAUUCCUCUAGACCUCAUGCAUCUAAAAGCAAAAAUUAAGGAGAAGAGCUGUUAUUGAUGCUGUUAUGCACUAUCAUGCAUAAGAUGCAUAGUUAAUUCUCAUCCCCUUGCUCUCUGCAGAGACCAGGAGCUCUUAAACCAAGAUGUUUCAUCACUUCAGUAAUGACAUCUCCAGGGAUCUACAGUGUAGGGCAGAUGGGCUACAAAGUCUGAGAAAAGUGACUGAUUUGGUCUUCCUUGGUCCAAAUGUUAUUUCCUGAAAAUAAGAGCACAAGAAGCUGAUGCAACAUAGUAUUACUAACAUUUUAAAAUAUAUGCUUAAUAAUGAAUAUUUGAGUUGUAUUGAUCACCUACACCCCUAUAGUUUUGAAAUGUUCUUUUAUAAAAAUGUAGCAAAUGGGUAAUGAAGAGGCAGAAAAUUUUUGUAUGCUUUGCAUAAUUAAAAUGCAAGACAUAAAGGACAGAAAAACACCACAUAGAUACAGAGAAAACUGUAGAUACAUUGCUACAUAACCAGUUUAUUAAUCCAAGUCAUCAGUCAGGACUAACAUAAACUGUACAUUUUUAUUCUGCAGUGCUUCAAAUCUGGGUCAGUCAAAUAAAUAUUCUUGGUGUGUCUCGUAACAGUCGGGUUUGUCCAGUAGAGGGAGGCAUUGUCAAUACAGUCAGCUCAGAAAAGCAAGACUGCAGCAACUGCUGGAUAAAGAAAAUAAAAUCCAACCAGCAAUGAUGUCCGUUUUGUAACUCUUUAAGCAUUUAUCUCUUUAAGUAUUAUGAAACUUGGCAAAUGCUUAAAACUUCUGUAGGUCAAGCAAAAUCAUAUGAUGGCAUGGUAGUAAAAUCUCUGACCUGUCCUGAAUGCACACAGGUUGUGAUGAUGUCCAGAGAAGGCUAAAAAAAUUAUUUGAGGAAUUGGCAAGCUUUCCAACUGAAGAAUUUCCAGGCUGUAGUGUGCACAUCCAUUGUGCAGGGAGUGAUGUGAGAACAGCCCGCAGGCACCCUACCAUCACUAGCAUGGAGAAAUGCCCCAAAAUAAGAGCAUACUCCUAUAUAUUUAUACACAAGAAACAGACACAGUCAGGGACUCUAAGCAAAGAGCCAGAGCCAGUAAUGCCUGCCAGGCACUGCUCUCUCCCUGAGGACAUGACUAAGAGGAAGAAGGGAGGAGAUGCAGCAGUCGCAUCGCUCUGGGAGAACAUGCAACCCAUUGGCUGCUCCCAUGUCAAAAAUACAAGUAUUUUGUAGAUUUCCUUGAAACAGUCAUUUGUGGGAGGAAGUUAUGCCAAACUUGUGUGGAACACAUCACCAGUUUUCGCAGACCUCAGAGAUGUUUAGUUGCACGAAGGCUCUGCCACCUGACAGUGCCUCUCAGACACAUCAUGUCUUGGCUUUGGCCAUGACCCAGGUGUUCACUGAGAUGUUCAAGAGUUUCAAUAGCUGUGCCAGGUAGCUGUGCUCAGAGAAAGCACAGCUUUAAUACUUUCAGGAUGUGUUUGCCAGACCGACUGAGAAUUAACUUGGUGUGUGAUACAUUCACAAAACACUAUCUUCACUGCUUGUGCAUCAAACAAGUGCUUGGCACAUACAUACAUGCUUCCGCCUGGGAAACCCUUGUAGGUAUAGAUGUGUGGAAAAGAGGGAGUAAAAUGUGUUUGUUUUGUAGCAGGGAAAAGAAGGAUUUGCCCUACAGAAAUGACUCAAGUGCAAUGACUUCAUCACAUUUUUACAUAUGCUAUACUGUGCUUAAAAAUAUAAACUUGGUCAUUAGUGUGCAAGCCACUCUCACACAGACACCUGCAUGUCUUUGGCACCACAUGCUUUCUAUUAUAAAUAACAGCUACACCUUGCUUUUGUGGCAGAAUUGAGACUAAAAUCUCUUAUAAAAUCAGCCAGCACUGUGCAGACAGCUUCAGCCCCCUGCAAUCAAUACUUUAUGGAUAAGUUGAUGCAUGCACUCUGAAGAAAAUGAAAUAAAAUGUACCAUGUCAGUUUACAUAAUCCAAGAGCUGAUAGCCUUCAUUUUCUGAGCCACCAAAACAAAAAUAUAAAAUAAGGAGAUUCCAAAGCUGGAAUGUAGUAUCCACAUAUUUUGCAUAAUUUUUCAAAAAAAAAGUCUCUUUUUUUAAGGGGAUGGGGCGGAGGGAGGGGGGGAGGAGGGCACAACUAAGAUUGUUGUAGCUUUUCCUACAUAGGCUGAAAAAAAUUGUGUAGGUUGGGAAAAAUGCUGCAUAAACACCCUUCCUUCUGUAUUAUGUUGGCUGCCUGACAUGUUAGAUAAGUUACUAAAAGGCAAAAGCUUUCAGAUUCUGUCAUCUGAAUUUACCCAAGGACUUCAGUUUUCAACUUUAUCUCAAUUUCUCAGUUCUUGGAACACUCCCCUCCCCACAUCCUUCUCCUCCCAAAAAAAAACCAAAACCAUCCAACCAACCAAAAACAAACAAACUACCCCACCAAACAAACAAACAAACAAAAACAAACAAGGAGAAUACUCCUAGGACAUCAGAUAACCAGUGCCAAACCCACACUGCAAGACUGUCAUCUUAGCUCCCUGCCCUCCGUACCUUUGUUCCUGCCUUAGUGACUGUUAUGUUCUUGCAUAUCUGCAAGUGCAGAAGGUUCUUUCUGAGAGUUCCUUAAGCACCAUGACUUUCACAUACAGGUGAUGGCUUCCAUGAGUCCUGUCAGCUUCAGGUACUACUUAUUCAUCCAACCAUGCACACAGGCACUCUUUUGUGUAUGGCUGGAAGUGCACAAAAUUGAUGGCUAGACUGGAAAAUAUUUGCUGGUAUUAAACAAGGAAACAUUUCUUAUUCAUGUUUGUCAUCUCAUUGUUUGAAAUAGAUUUCACAGGGUAAAUUUCUUCCCAUAGAUAGAUUUCAAACAGUAGCUCUGAUAAUAUGACUUAACAAUCAGAUGUGAUUAUACAAGAAAGAUACUUGGUAGGUAUAUGAAUAUGAAAAAAAAUAUUUUGUCUAUUACUUUUAAUAAAUAUUGUGGCAACUGUCAUAUAAAUAAAUACAUGUUAAAAAUGAAUUAAAACACAACCUAAUGUCUGCCAAGUUAGCAAUUAGGUAUCUAAAUACCCUACAAAGCUAGAACACUAUAGUGCUAAAACUUGACUUCCCUCUCCAAGCUACCCUUAGUUUAUUUUCAGAAAUAAAAAAUAACCAAUCAAGCAUAUCAAAACUAACAAAUCAAUCAAACGAAAAAAAAAACAACAACAACAAAAAAAAAACAAAACAAAAAAACAAACUUACCACCACCACCAAAAAGAACACCACUACCAACAAAAACAAGCAACAAACAAACAAACAAACAAACAAACAAAAAAGCAGCUAAGGACUUUGAGAAAGGUAGAAGAAAUUAGGUUGCCCUGAUUUUAAGUAGACACUAAGGCCUGUAAUGGAAUAUUUACAUAUAUAACUAUACUUACAGAUUUUUACAUUUAUUUUUUGCAUUCCUGUACAGCUUGGUCAAUUGAAAUGUUAUAGAAGAGGAAACAAAAUGUGAAAAUGCUAAGGAUAAAGCAAACAUUAUGAAGUCUUAGUUUGGUCCCCUUAGUUUGGACACUGAUACAACUGAUAGAUAUUAUUUGAAUCUAGUAUUUCCUGGACAAUAUUUUUGUUCCAUUUAAUCAGGUAAAGUCACAAGUGAACAGGUUGCUGUUGACUUCUCUCUUCCUAACCCAGGGCAUCAACUAGAUUAUCAUAAACCUCCCAGCUUUUCUGCAAUGUGUUUUUAGAAUGACUUCUAACAUGGUGAUCACCCACGGUACUUAAGAGAUUGAACCUGCCCUCUAAGGGAUGUUGUGGUGAGGGCAGUAACCCUGCCAGGAAAACAAAGUUAGUCUGCUUGGGGUGCCCAUCCUUCAACCCCAUUGAACUAAGGGCUGAGGAAGAAGAAAGUGUUUCACUGUAAAUGGAGAUGUCAGGACAAACUGUCACUGCAAUCACUAUACUACCAAUUAUUCAAGACAGACUCUGUUGCUAGGGUCUGGCUGAGAAAACACAUGGAACUUCUUCCCAGUUUUUAUCUCCACUAUCAGCUUGCCCUGUAAAGAUAUCUUCAUCCUGCUUUGUCUCCCCACUUUACUCUUCUUGUAUUUUUCUUCACAGUGUCUCCCUGAAGCCUUUUCCUCAUCCUGGGCUACUAAUCUCUGAGAUGAUAAACCCAGGAGAUGAAGUUUUUUCCUGCUGUGGCAGUCAGUUACAUUUUUUGUUCUUGUUCUGUCAGUUCUUCCAGCCUCACUGAUCUCCUCUGAAACACACAGGGCAGAGGACAGUAAAGAAGAACAGAAAGAGGGAGAAGUGAAGUCAUUGCCCAAUGCAGAAGAAGGCUCAAGUUACAUCUUUAGAUGGGAAAACUAUCAGAGGCAUGUCUGGGAACAGUCUGGUGAAGGACAAGAGGACUCUGCAAUUAUACCAUGAGCUGUGCUGCAACAUACUCUUGUGGACAGAGUACAGAACAGCCCACUAGAUGACACAAGAUGCGGCCAUCUGACAAAGACUGGGGAUGGACCUGGGCUUUCUGUUCUAAUAAUCACAAGUGCCAGUAACAGGACAGGAAGAGAGACUCAAACAUAAAUAAAUUAAUUAGCAAGGACAUUAUUUAUACACUGGGAAUUUCUAGUGUAUGUGGUGUCUGCUCUAAUAACCCACGGACAAAUCACCUCUUCUUGCUAUAACACCUCAGGGAGAGGACCAGAAGAGAAAGACAACCAUAAGUUUUCAUCUAAAGGAAAAAGGAUAAGAAGCAGCUUGAAAAUCUGCAGGGAAAGAUCCUGCAUAUUCAUAAAGAGCAGAACAAUCCAUAUGGACACCUGCCCCUCACAACGGCUUCUCUUGCUCCUGGCUACUAUUGUUCCAGAGUGAUCUGCAGUUAAUAUCAACAGGACUGUGGUACAUGGGCAUUUGAGUGCUCCAAGCUUGCUUUUUCCUAAUGCAACAAAACACAAAUGGCUGUGAAACUUUUUGGAGAAAAGAUUGACUUCAAGGAGCUCAACAAAAAUAAAAAGUCUCUUCCUUGCUUAUGUAUCCUUUGUCAGCACAUUCUAGCCACAUGAAAAUGAAUGAAAAUAAACCUAUGUUAAUGACAUUUUCCCCUUUAUGACUCAAAAAUUUUGGACCAGAUUCUUAACUGCUGAUAAGCUGUUUAAAAUGGUGAAAUCAUUUGUCGAGUUGUCAGGAAAGUCCAAAAAUUCAUAUUCAUAUGUCAUGAGGACCGGUCCUUUUCCUUUUCAUUGGACAGUUUAGCUGGAUGUUUUUUUAAAACAAGAAAAAUUAAGAAGACUUCAAUUAAGAAAAGACUUCAUGUCUUUUCUAUGAGCUUGUACAGUGGAUGUCAUAAGAUUCUAACCUUUAGCCUUUUCUUAAGACAAACACAAAAGUAAGAUUCCCAUUAAAUGGUGGCCUUGUAUGUCAUUUUUACCUCCAAGCACCGUGCUCCUCCCAUACUGUUGAGUCAUUCCAAUUUUCAGUACUAUUCAGAACAGCAUUUGAGCUUUUCUUGGAAGGUGAAAUACAUCUGAUAUUUUGUAAAGAAAUAAAAAUUUUCAUUAUGCACA